rnacentral:rRNA from 1 species
UACGUAGGGCGCAAGCGUUGUCCGGAAUUAUUGGGCGUAAAGAGCGUGUAGGCGGCCAGGUAGGUCCGUUGUGAAAACUCGAGGCUCAACCUCGAGACGUCGAUGGAAACCAUCUGGCUAGAGUCCGGAAGAGGAGAGUGGAAUUCCUGGUGUAGCGGUGAAAUGCGCAGAUAUCAGGAAGAACACCUAUGGCGAAGGCAGCUCUCUGGGACGGUACUGACGCUGAGACGCGAAAGCGUGGGGAGCGAACAGG